rnacentral:rRNA from 1 species
UACGGAGGGUGCGAGCGUUGUCCGGAAUCACUGGGCGUAAAGGGCGCGUAGGUGGCGCGAGGAGUCUGUGGUGAAAGCCCGAGGCUCAACUUCGGGUCGGCCGCGGAUACUCUCGUGCUGGAGGGUGGUGGAGGCCAAUGGAAUUCCGGGUGUAGCGGUGGAAUGCGUAGAGAUCCGGAAGAACACCGGUGGCGAAGGCGGUUGGCUGGGCCACACCUGACACUGAGGCGCGACAGCGUGGGGGAGCAAACAGGG